rnacentral:lncRNA from 1 species
CCUGUUAUAAAUGUAUAUUCACUAUUGAUUUUGAACUUCAUAUAGAAAUUUGUAUUUCUUAAAAUGAUGACAGUAUGUUGUAUCAGUUUUUGCUUGCAUUCUCAAUCACAUACAAUUUUUGCAGGGUUCCCUAAUUGCUAUUAUUUUGAUUUUACAACUUUUAUAAUAAUGAAUAAGUGGUUGUGUUUCUAUAAUGGCAGGAAAGACAGUAAUAAUUUCUAAUCAGCCUUAUUUCUAUAAGAAAGCUGAACUUUUUC